AGGGUUCAAGGACCACGUGGAUGAGAGGUGCUGACUGGUUCAGACUGGCUCUGCUUUGCGACCUCUGACCCCGAGAGCAUCAGUUUCCUCACCUGUGCAGUGAAGUAAGGGAUUGAUCCUCACUGCUGGGCUGGGCGGAGGUUUAAGUGAGCCACUCACUCUGGUUCAGACAUGAGGACAAGAAUGUGGUGGACAUUCAGUACGCAGUCUUGUCCCUGCUGCGAAUGAAAUGAGAAGAUAUUCAUGUAAGGACACACACCAUGACAAAAUCAAAAUGACAAGGAAGCACCAAACCAAAAACAAAGUUGUGUCGUCAUUCUUGUUGACUCCAGGCCUGCCACCUCUCUAACUUCCACCGUCAUUCCUUACGGUUACAUCAUGUGUUUGUGCUUCUGGGUCUUGAUCCAUCAUCUUUUGACGUCACUUCUGAUUGGGGAGAAUAUACACGGCUCCAUCUUCCCAUCACUCUUCUCUGCCUUGGAAGUGAUAUCACUGUUCUCAGACCCUCAACUCGACCCCACCUUCAGCUUUAAUUCCCUUUUUCACUCUGCCAACCCUGAAUAUCUCCCUUGGCUCCCAUGUUUAUAAAAGGAGGACUCAACCUCCCCUGUGUUUCUCCCCGCCGGACCACCUGCCCUGAAGGUCCAGAUUUUCAUUUUACAUUUCAGAGCAAAUAUUCUGCGGUUUAAACACCCACCACUUCCUGCAGUGUACAGUGGAAUAUGACUCAGCCAGAAAAAGGAAAGAAAUUGUACAAUCUACAGUGAUAUGAGCGGACCUAGAGUCUGUUAUACAGAGUGAAGUAAGUCAGAAAGAGAAAAACAAAUAUAUUAAUAAAUAUAUACGGAAUCUA